GACGAACGCUGGCGGCGUGCUUAACACAUGCAAGUCGAGCGGUAAGGCCCUUUCGGGGGUACGACGAGCGGCGAACGGGUGAGUAACACGUGGGUGGACCUGCCCUCCAGCUCUGGGAUAAGCCUGGGAAACUGGGUCUAAUACUGGAUAUGACUCCACGGUGCAUGUCGUGGGGUGGAAAGCCUUGUGCGGCUGAGGAUGGGCCCGCGGCCUAUCAGCUUGUUGGUGGGGUGAUGGCCUACCAAGGCGACGACGGGUAGCCGGCCUGAGAGGGCGACCGGCCACACUGGGACUGAGACACGGCCCAGACUCCUACGGGAGGCAGCAGUGGGGAAUCUUGCGCAAUGGGCGAAAGCCUGACGCAGCGA
rnacentral:rRNA from 1 species